AGCGAACGCUGGAGGCAGGCCUAACACAUGCAAGUCGAACGAACCUUUCGGGGUUAGUGGCGGACGGGUGAGUAACACGUGGGAACGUGCCUUUAGGUUCGGAAUAACUCAGGGAAACUUGUGCUAAUACCGAAUGUGCCCUUCGGGGGAAAGAUUAAUCGCCUUUAGAGCGGCCCGCGUCUGAUUAGCUAGUUGGUUGAGGUAAUGGCUCACCAAGGCGACGAUCAGUAGCUGGUCUGAGAGGAUGAUCAGCCACAUUGGGACUGAGACACGGCCCAAACUCCUACGGGAGGCAGCAGUGGGGAAUCUUGCGCAAUGGGCGAAAGCCUGACGCAGCCAUGCCGCGUGAAUGAUGAAGGUCUUAGGAUUGUAAAAUUCUUUCACCGGGGACGAUAAUGACGGUACCCGGAGAAGAAGCCCCGGCUAACUUCGUG
rnacentral:rRNA from 1 species